AUUGAACGCUGGCGGCAGGCUUAACACAUGCAAGUCGAGCGGAGUGAUGGUGCUUGCACUAUCACUUAGCGGCGGACGGGUGAGUAAUGCUUAGGAAUCUGCCUAUUAGUGGGGGACAACAUCUCGAAAGGGAUGCUAAUACCGCAUACGUCCUACGGGAGAAAGCAGGGGAUCACUUGUGACCUUGCGCUAAUAGAUGAGCCUAAGUCGGAUUAGCUAGUUGGUGGGGUAAAGGCCUACCAAGGCGACGAUCUGUAGCGGGUCUGGGAGGAUGAUCCGCCACACUGGGACUGAGGCACGGCCCAGACUCCUACGGGAGGCAGCAGUGGGGAAUAUUGGACAAUGGGGGGAACCCUGAUCCAGCCAUGCCGCGUGUGUGAAGAAGGCCUUAUGGCUGUAAAGCACUUUAAGCGAGGAGGAGGCUCUUUUGGUUAAUACCCAAGAUGAGUGGACGUUACUCGCAGAAUAAGCACCGGCUAACUCUGUGCCAGCCGCCGCCGUAA
rnacentral:rRNA from 1 species